rnacentral:rRNA from 1 species
GCAAGGUUAACCGUAUAGGGGAGCCGGAGGGAAACCGAGUCUUAAUUGGGCGUUAAGUUGCAGGGUAUAGACCCGAAACCCGGUGAUCUAGCCAUGGGCAGGUUGAAGGUUGGGUAACACUAACUGGAGGACCGAACCGACUAAUGUUGAAAAAUUAGCGGAUGACCUGUGGCUGGGGGUGAAAGGCCAAUCAAACCGGGAGAUAGCUGGUUCUCCCCGAAAGCUAUUUAGGUAGCGCCUCGUGAAUUCAUCUCCGGGGGUAGAGCACUGUUUCGGCUAGGGGGCCAUCCCGGCUUACCAACCCGAUGCAAACUGCGAAUACCGGAGAAUGUUAUCACGGGAGACACACGGCGGGUGCUAACGUCCGUCGUGAAGAGGGAAACAACCCAGACCGCCAGCUAAGGUCCCAAAGUCAUGGUUAAGUGGGAAACGAUGUGGGAAGGCCCAGACAGCCAGGAUGUUGGCUUAGAAGCAGCCAUCAUUUAAAGAAAGCGUAAUAGCUCACUGGUCGAGUCGGCCUGCGCGGAAGAUGUAACGGGGCUAAACCAUGCACCGAAGCUGCGGCAGCGACACUGUGUGUUGUUGGGUAGGGGAGCGUUCUGUAAGCCUGUGAAGGUGGCCUGUGAGGGUUGCUGGAGGUAUCAGAAGUGCGAAUGCUGACAUAAGUAACGAUAAAGCGGGUGAAAAGCCCGCUCGCCGGAAGACCAAGGGUUCCUGUCCAACGUUAAUCGGGGCAGGGUGAGUCGACCCCUAAGGCGAGGCCGAAAGGCGUAGUCGAUGGGAAACGGGUUAAUAUUCCCGUACUUGGUGUUACUGCGAAGGGGGGACGGAGAAGGCUAUGUUGGCCGGGCGACGGUUGUCCCGGUUUAAGCGUGUAGGUGUGUGUUCCAGGUAAAUCCGGUUCACUUUAACACUGAGGCGUGAUGACGAGGCACUACGGUGCUGAAGCAACAAAUGCCCUGCUUCCAGGAAAAGCCUCUAAGCAUCAGGUAACAUCAAAUCGUACCCCAAACCGACACAGGUGGUCAGGUAGAGAAUACCAAGGCGCUUGAGAGAACUCGGGUGAAGGAACUAGGCAAAAUGGUGCCGUAACUUCGGGAGAAGGCACGCUGACAC